CAGCUUUAAAAAACAGCGAAUAGACAUGACAAUUCUGUCAUGUUUGAAACACAAAAUACGAGGCAAAUCUAAUGCACUUGUUUGACAAAAUGUAGGUAACAAAUGAUUUCAGUGUAAACAGUUCGCUCAUUGAAUAACAUUGGACUAAAAAUACGUGUAUGAAACGAUAAAGCGUGAGUUUUGUGUAGUAACAGUGUCAAUAAUUGUGAAUUUGUAUCAACGGGUUUUCCGGUCGAGACAAAGAUAAAUAUCAGGGACACAGAUGAUAGCCCCGUGAACACCUGAACCGACUGAAAUAGACCGGCGGUAAACCCAGAAGCCGUCACGCUGCCAUCAUGACGCUACACUGGUGGAUGCACUGGUUCUGGGUGACGAUUCUGCUGAUUCUCCUUGGCAGCGAAUCGACUUUCGGUGCCCCCCAGUCUGAAGAGCUCCUGCACAUAACACCUGAGCUAGAAACGGAACGACAUUCUGAACGACAAAACCGUGCUCUGUACAUCAGCAAAACUGUAAUCAUCACAACCCCACACCCGUUGGUAAAAAACAUUACGUUAAACAACCAAACUGACGAGCCAAUAUUGGCGACCAACGUUACCCAAGUCAACGUGACCGAGAUCGUUCACCCGGCGAUACAGUGGACCGCGGCCAAUGCAAACGUAACAGUACAGAAUAGUACUGUCAAUACAACUUUGACAACCAACGUGACAGAUGACGUCACGACAACACCGUCAAAUGCAAACAACCUCACGAGGGAAGAGUACAUCAAAGAUUUGACUCACAUCGAAGGAAUUCCUGACAGCAGGAUCGUGACCGAGAAACCGUUGUCUUUGGAGACCGCCUUCUCUCACACGAGAAUACCGAACGUAGAGUCUUCCAGGAGAAUGGUGGAAGAGGAACGGGGAAUAGACACGGGAGUUAUAGCGGGUAUCGCUUUUGCUGGUGUGGUGUUGGCAGCGCUGGCUGGCAGUAUAGCUUUCGUGCUGUACAGGAGGAGAUACCUGAACAAGCCCCAGACCUUGAAUGACAAAUGCUCGAAUCCCGACUCGAGUGGUUAUCUUGACGACAGCACUGUUAGGGAUAAUUCUGAAGAGAUGUACAGUCUGGACAAUGAUUCGUUUCUGAACUCCCUGGAAGCCAUGACAAUACAGAACUACUGGACAGAUACAGUAAAACAUACUAAACUAUAACAAUGCAAGUCUGACCAUGUUAUACUUAAUCAUUGUUUCUCAACCUUGGGGUCACAGUGAAUGAAAUAUCCUGAUGACUGUUUACUACUUUAAAUCUUGGGUCAUCUUGCGAUUGGGACACUAAAAGGUUGAGACACAAUGGUAUAAGGAAACGUGAUAAUAACAGAAUAAAAUAUUUGACUGUAAUGAAAAUAUAGUUAGAGCUGAAGUAAUCAUCAAGUCUAUUCUACAACAGAAAUAUUGGAUUGGUCACAUGUCUUGUGAUGUCACAAACCACUAAACAAAACUUUUUAUUUGCAAUAUACUUACUAAAAGGUAAAACUAUGCUGGAGGGUUACAUCACAGUUGUAAUUUGAUCUGAUUUUGUUUUAUUAUUUUAUUUAUUUAAAUUUAUUACCAAUCUUUCAUGAAUUUUUGAAUUUUAGUUAAAGUUAUAAAGGUAUUGAGUGUUGCAACUUUUUUGUGUGAUCAAAGGUAGCCUGAAUAGCAGUUAAUUUGUAUUAUAAUUAUUAUGUACCAUUAAAUAUUACAUUUUUUCACAAGAGCUAAUUAAAGCUGUAUAAUUCAAUUAGUAAGGUUUAUAGCAUCAUCAAACUUAUUUCUGCAGCAAAGCCAUAGUUUCCAUUUUGAAGGGGUAGUCAUUAUUUCAGCUGAAUUCCGACAAUAGGCUCAGCCUUGUAGAUUACAAUUUUUGUACUUUCAAGGUGUGAAAACAAUUACAACAGAAUACAUCUUAUCUCGUUUCUAGCAGCUAGGCAAAUAUUAGACACUUUAAGCUUUAGGAUUUUGUCUCGGCAGCACCAUUUAAAAAUAGAUACAUGUGGAAUUGAUUUUUUUUAUUGCCCAUGUAGACAGACGAGCAUACGACCUACCUGAUAAUAAGUGGUUACCGGCGCCCAUGGACUUCAGUAAUGCCAGGGGCAGAGCCAAGCUGCUGCCUACCGUUGGUACUUAAUUGAAGACAGAAUAAAAAAAACAUUUCUUAUCAAAACUGUUAUACAUAGUUCUUUAAUCAUGUUUUUUUAAGAUGUAUUAAGCUUUGUAAUGUCAAACUAUUAUUUCGUUGUUUCAAACUAUUUGGAAAUUUUAAAUUUAGUUUUUAAUAUUUCUAAAUAGUAUUCGAUCGUAGAAGUGAAUUCAUUAAAUAAAUUUUACUUAUUUAAGUAUAUUUUUUCAGAAUAAUCGAAACUGAGUUUUGAUGGCUCUGAAGAACUCUAAAAGCCUUCGUUUCACGAUAUAAACCUUUUUAUUACACAAAGUAAAUGUACGAUCUCAUGAUUUGCAUGCCGCCUGAAACUAUGGAGAGUAGAGGUAAGGAGAACCGUUUCAUAUGGGAGAAGCUUGAAAAAGUGGUGAUUUUGUAAUGCUUACAGUUCUUUCGUUCUUUUUUAUUUCUCUAUCUUAUUCUAAUAACUUUCAGCGCCUUUUUUUAAAUUUACCCGGUUGCUCCUAUAGCGCCACCCUUAUUUAGCAAAUUUUAACGCACACUUUUCACAGCCACAGAGGCGGUUCUCCUUACCUCUACCCUCCAUGCUUGAAACGAAUAGGUAUUACAGAUCACCAUUGAAAAAUGACUGUGGUGAAUAUGAUGAUAAACUUCGAGUAAAUUUUAUUAUAAUAACGGCAUUAACAUUAACGGCUACCCUUCAAACCACAACGAACGUAUACUUCGCGGCAGCACAUAGAGUUUCUUGAUGCAUUUACCAUUUUUUUUUCUUAAUUAUGAUAACUAAAAUUUACCUUAAAAUUAAAAUUUAUCGAGACAUUUUUAUCUUUGCUUGUCAAGCUUGACAACCAAUGACAUUGACAGCAUUGAUUAACAUAUAUAAUCUCGAUUAAAUAAAUUCACAUUUUGACAAUUUAAAAUACACACAAAAUGUACCCUCCGCAUAAAUUUACCAACCUAAUUAUUAUAAUCAUACACAUACAUACGGUUUUAAUAAAAUUUUGAUUUUUUAUUUCAUUUGUCAUCAAAGUUCGUUAAAUUGCAAUGUGCUCCUUAGAUUAAUGAUAACUUUCCGCUACACCAUAACAGCGGAGCUUAAUCAAUAAUUUUAGAUUGUAUUAUUGUUUAGAAUUGUAAUAGGUGGCUCCAAAAUUAUGUCGAUUUCAAAGUGAUCAUUUCGUUAAUUAAUAUAAUAAUUUAUCUUAUUAUUUUUCAAGCUGUAUAAUUAAAAUAAAACAUUGCAUGCAAUUGUGUUAUGGACAUGAAGAAGUGUUCAACAUCAGGAAAUCUUAAAAUACGUUUAUUAUCUUAUAUCCUAUCUCAAUAUAAGAAGAGCGAAAAGGACAAAUUUAUUUUAUUUUACAAUUUAAAGGAAUUGGAUAAUACAAUUGCACUUAAUAGGGUUUUAAAAAAAAAACGUGGGUAGAAAAAAGUGGUUCUGAAAAAUUAUUAUUUUGAUUCAUUACAAUAAUUAAAACAUAACCAUUGCUGUAUAAAAUUUAAAAUGUAUUUUUAAAGUCUAGAAUCUAUAUUAUUGAUGUGAGUUCUAAUAAUGAAAUUAAUUAGUGAUAAUCAUUGUAAAUAGUUUGUACUAUUGUGAUAAAAAAAAUUCUUGAGAUAUAAAUGUUAGGCUAAUAUUAAUGUACUUAUGGCGAUACUGAACUUUAGAAAUAAGAUGUAGUUUAAAACACAGCAUGAAUGACAGAGUUUCUGUAGAUGAUUCUACUAUUAAAUGAAUGUUAUGUUAUUUUGCCGUUCACUCUGAAACUAGACGAGUUAUCGAUCCAGUGGUUGUAUCAACAUUUAUUGAUUUUGUAUUCUAGAUUAUCUAAUAUAUAAAAUUCUCGUGUCACAAUGUUCGUUCCCAUACUCCUCCGAAACCGCUUGACCGAUUCUCAUGAAAUUUUUGGAGUUUACUCCUUUAGAAUCGAUUUACAUAUAUAGGCCCGGGGUAUGAAAAUUAUGGGGACCAAAAUCGUACUAGCAUGUCACACGAAAUGCGUUAUCGCAGGUGACGCCGGGCUGCUGCGCCGGCAGUCCGCCACAAAGCCUCGUACUGAUCGCGCGUUUCUCUCAUUAUUGUAUUUUCAUAUAUUUGUUAGUCGUUUGUUUUGUGUCUCGUUAAUUUGUUAAUAAUCUGUAGUGUAUCGUGUUGUCGUAAUAUAGAACUAUUUCUCGUAUUGUUUCGUUUAAUUUUUUAUAUCCAGUAAACUCCAGUCGUGCGUCGGAGCGGACACACACACUUUUUUUUAUGCAUAUUCAGUAAGCCUGAGAAUCGGCUACUAUCUAUUUUUGAUACCCCUAAGUGAUUAGGGUUGUCCACCCCUAACAUAAUUUUUUUUAUUUGGACUUUUGUUUUGUUAUAAUGAGGUAUUAUGUGGUUGAAUGAGGUUUUGUUAUUUUUAUUAUAUAUUCCCUCAUCGUUCACAGCACUACAUACCUCUUUCACUCAGUUACCACAUCCUUACACACUUACAAUAAGUUACUUUUUUUUUCUACACUAGAAAUUCCCUAGAAAUCUUAUAUAUGGCAAAACAAUGUUUGCCGGGUCAGCUAGUUUAAAUUUAUUAUUCGUCAAAGACCAACCAAAAAGUUUGAGCUUGAUAAAGACAUGACAACGGUGCGUCCGACGCUCUUCCUCAACAUGUAUCGUUCAUGAUACAUUACAUUGCGAAGAUGUAUCGUUCGUAUCCUAUGUACAUGUAGCGAGUAGCCAUCAUAGAACACAAGAUAUUUGACAAUUAUAUUUCAUCCCAUAUCAUAUCAUUUCCUUCCAUAUCGUCGGCUUAUUGCAAGAACUCAUUAACUGCAAAAAAUCACUAAAUGCGUUUUUAUCUAUAAUGGGCUCAUUUUUGCAUAUUCUACAAAAUGCAAAAACACACAAAUUUCUAGCUGGCCAAUUUUAGCCGUUACGUCUUUGGUAGAAAAUUGAUAAUUGCAACUUUGGAAGUCAGGCAUUUACAAAGAUUCACUAAGCAGCACUAGUUAUUUUUAUUAAAUGGAUAAUUAUUUGAAAACAGCAUACAUUACAUUACAGAACUCAUUUUCAGCAUCUAAUUAAUUUUAUCAAAACAGUGUAGUAUAAUAUAGCUUAAAAUUGCAUUUCGAUAAAAUUCAUUAUUUACAUUUACAUUACAUUUAGUUAGUUUCUGUAAUGAAUUAUUUCAUCACAAAUGCACAAUAAGUAAUUUUAAUGAUUUUUAUCGAUAUUAAUAUAAUAUAAAUCAUAAUAUUAAGAUUUCCAUAAAAUAAUUUAUUCUUUUUCCUUAUUUUUUCCAUUUUGUUGAUGGCAUGAUUUUAAUAAGUUAACAUCGAUUAAAAGAACAUAGUAACUUCUUGCAGGCUACGUGGUUCCUCGGUUGUAGUUUAGUGAGUUAUAUAGGGUUUGGUGAAAUGCGACAAAACAGCUUGUCUAGGAAACACGGGGCAUAAGACGAAACCGACGAACGCGGGUGAGGGUGGGUUUGCGCGGGACGAAAGAGUACUGCCUCGCUCGCUCAGUUUGCGGCGAGAUACAUUGAUUACCACGUCUGUUAUAGAAGUUAAUGAUUUCUGACAAAAUGCAACGAAAUAAAUGUUUCAAACAAGGACGAGGAACCAAGAUGUUGGAGCAAUUGAAGUUCUGAACAACCUUCGCACAACCUAGCAAGCAAACACCUGACCUACAAUAGCAUCAUUCUUUCCACGGGUGUAGAAGAUGUUAAAUGAUACACUGGAGAACGGGCAACAUCGUUAUCUGAGAAUCAUACCAGUGGACUACGAUUGCCAACUUGUAUUUACUGAUAGGGUGGUUGGUAUGGCGUAUGGCAAGCCCGUACGAGUUGGUACCACCAUCGAAGCGAAGCAGCAUACGGAACAAUUUAGAUUUAGAUUUCGGGUCUCAAGAUGGGUGGUGACUUUCACGUUGGAUCUCUAUGAGCUGCAGUAAUCACUGUAACACCAGACAGGCUUUUUUAUAUUUUUUAAGAUUGAAGGAUUACUGGUGGCCCGGAGGCCUUUCCAGAUUCACCAGGACAUGUGGGCUAGCAAAGGAUCAGCCAAGAGGGGUGGGAUUUGCUAACAGCUGUCCGUGCGCCUCCGAAGAAGACCUAACAACUCAAGAACAGCUGCUUCGUGAAUGAAUCUACUACCGGAUCGGAAUCGCAACCCACUGAGAAGACCCGGCGAGAAACUCAGCGAGCUGAUGCAAGAACGUAAUCAGUUUCUGUUAUUCUUAAUGCUAUACUUAGUUCAAGUUAACCACCUUGAGGUGGUUGAACGUAAGUAUUUAGAAUUGGGCCACACACAUCAUAUGGAGGUCGAUAAUAUGCAUAGUUCUAUCGAGAAUCAAAUGUGUCUUAUGCCAAUUUUUUCUAUGGUAGACCUUUGUAAUGUUUUAAGAUUGGCUAGAUCGAACAGAAAGCUAAAAAAGAAAAAAAAACAGCAAAGACGCCGUAUGAACCUAUAGUAAUGAGCCACUCUGAUAUCUUGAGCCUAAAAGAGUUGAAAAACAAAUUAAUGUUUAAUAAGUCAAUUGACACUGUAGGACUACAAUGUUUGAAGGUUAAAUGCUUCAAGCUUGGAAAGACCGACUUAAAAUUGUUCAAUAUAGGUAUGACUACGUUUCCAAUUUUAAAGACCUAGCCUGCAGAGCUACACCAUUGGUAUAAUAAUAAACCUGAUAAAGAAUUAUCUUCCUGAAGAAGAAACCUCUGAUACAGAUUUUUUUAACCUAGAUCUUUUUUUAUUUGUUUUAUGUUUUUGUAUGGUGUUUAAGCUCAGUUCCUAAUUUUCAUUAAAAAAUACAUGAUUGAAUGAAUACAUGAGUGAUUGACUAACAGGGAGAAGAAAAUUAUUUUUAGUUUAUUAUUUAAGUCGUCGUGGCCUAAAAGAUAAGACGUCCGGUGCAUUCGUAUCUAGCGAUGCACCGGGGUUCGAAUCCCGCAGGCGGGUACCAAUUUUUCUGAUGAAAUACGUACUUAACAAAAUAUGUUCACGAUCUACUUCCACGGUGAAGGAAUAACAUCGUGUAAUAAACUCGCAUAAUUAUAAUUUGCGUAAUUACUGGUGGUAGGACCUCUUGUAAGUCCGUACGGGUGGGUACCACAACCCCGCCUAUUUCUGCCGUGAAGCAGAAAUGCGUUUCGGCUUCAAGCGUUUUUUUUUAUUGCCCUUGUAGGCAGACGUGCAUACGGUCUACCUGAUGGUGAGUGUUUACCGUCGCCCAUGGACUUCAGCAAUGCCAGAGGCAGAGCCAAGCCGCUGCCUACCGUUUAAUACUCUCCACAAGCCUCGUUUGAAGAAGGACAUGUCAUAGCGCUCGGGAAACACCGUGGAGGGGAGCUCAUUCCAUAGCCGGAUGGUACGUGGCAAAAAAGAUCUCUGGAAACGCACUGCGGAUGACCGCAGUGGCUCCAGAUAGUAUGGAUGAACUCUACUCCGGUGGCGGGCGGUACGAUGGUAAAAACGAGAUGCCGGUAUCAUCUCGAACAAUUCCUCAGAGCACUCCCCAUGGAACAUACGGUACAAAAUACAGAGGGAACGGAAGUCCUCCGCAGACCCAGAGGUUCCAAACGAUACGUGGGAAUGGGAUUAUUAACAAUCCAAAUGGCCCUCCUCUGUAUAGGUGGGGCAGCGUUGUGACCAUACUGAUACCUUAGAACUUAUAUCUCAAGGUGGGUGGCGCAUUUACAUUGUAGAUGUCAAUGGGCUCCAGUAACCACUUAAUACCAGGUGAGCUGUGAACUCGUACACCCAUCUAAGCAAUAAAAUAAAAAUAAAAUUAUGUACAACUUUUGAGACUGCGAAGUUGUCGUGAGUACUUGGCAAUAUUAGCUAUUGCAAGUUCUUACGUCAACUGUUAUGAAAAAAAUGUUUUUGAUUAUUAUGUUAUUAUUCGUUUUUGUUUAUUUCAAUAAGGUUUGAUAAGUAUUUUGUUGGUUUAUUUUAAUUUAAGAAAUAAUUAAUUCACAUAUAAAACCGACUUACAGUAGCAAGAAGUCAUUAACUUUUAGUUUUAGUUUAUAAAUAAUAUAUAAUGUUAUAUGAUUACCGACCCUCACUUGUUUUAAUUAAUAUACAUAUUAAGCAAUCCAAAACAUUCAGUUUUUCUCACUGUAGUUAUGUAUGAAGGAUAAUAUGGGCUAAUCAACAUAACCACUAACUAAUUUCAACUAAAAUGCCGUUUUCCCAAAAUAAUGAAUAUGUCACUUAAUGACUUCUUGCAAUAAGCCGACGAUAUUAUCAUUUUCCAUAAAUAUAAGAAUAUAAAUUAUAAUAAGACAUGACUGAAAGGUCUUAGUUACCAGGUCAUAAAAUCCCUUUAAAAAAAGAUAUUUGACAGAUGCGUAAAAUUAAAUCUCGCUAACGACAGUUUCAAGAUAAGUUUGCAUGUAUUUAUGUUCAUUUGUUUGUUUCUACCGAGCAAUUUGUACCGGUCGGUGGAAAAUCUUUCCUUUGCCGUUAACUCCCAAAUACUAUAUUGCUUCGCAUAACAUCCAAGCUGCAACUAACUAACCAAUUACCAGGAAAUUAGAAAAGAAUGUCUAUUCACUCAUACACUCAUUAAAUAAUCUGCCCAAGCAUAAAAAAAAAACUAUAUUUGGCGCCAAAAUUUACCACCACGCUCGUUGCUGCAUUUAAAUAUUGGGACAUACAAACUUUCUUUUAUAUACGCUUUUAUUUUCAAGCGCCGCUUCGUACGGAACCAUUUGGGUCGAUUUCUCGUAUAAACAGUGUAAGCGGAUAUUUAACUGUAAAAAAUAUAUAAGUCACGUUACAUAUAGGUACUAAAACAGAUUUAAAAUAAAUAAAAUAUGAUCUCAACAAGUGUUUUUGAGACGUAAUUAAUAAGUUACAUUCGAUAAGUAAAAGAACGGUUGAACACACUUUUAAAUGUACUAGUAGUUAAUUGUUAGUUAAUUGAAGAAUGUAUUUUUUAAUUAAAUAGGGAACAUAGUUUCCAAAAGUAAAAUUUAAGAUCGUAGAACAUUAAAUAGUUAAGUUGACUUUGCACCGAACCCAGCCUCGAGAAGAAUGAAGUGAAAAGUUGACAACAAUGGCGGCUGUUAUUGUCGACUACCCACAGGUGGUAUACGAAAGGCUAUACACAUGCAAUAUUCAGUUUUCCUGAACAUUCUGGAGCACACUGAUGGUGGGACCUCUUGUGAUUACUGGUGGUAGGACCUCUUGUGAGUCCGCGCGAAUAGGUACCACCGCCCUGCCUAUUUUUGCCGUGAAGCAGUAAUGCGUUUCGGUUUGAAGGGUGGGGCAGCCGUUGUAACUAUACUGAGACCUUAGAACUUAUAUCUCAAGGUGGGUGGCGCACUAUGGGCUCCAGUAACCACUCAACACCAGGUGGGCUGUGAGCUCGUCCACCCAUCUAAGCAGUAAAAAAAACACUACUUGAACUGUUUAUACGGUAGCUCACGGUUGGUCAACUGUCGACAAUUUAUAACAUUGUAACAUUAAAACGCUUAGUUCACUUGCAAAUCCAUAAUACGGAUAAAAACACUGGGCAUUACAGUUUUUGAAUUCGUGUUACGUUUUGUUUUCUUUAUUGUUGUGUUCCCAGUUAAUGCAAAAAGUUUAAACGCUUGUAUGUUUUUUAAUGAAAAUAUUUUUUUUCGUUGUUCAUAAUUAAGCUUUAUUUUUCCUAUUUUAAACAUUUUAAAAUGUUUUUCCCUUUCGAGAUGAAAAGAACUUCACUAUUAUACUUGUGAUAUAUCCGUCCAUUUUGAUUUGUUUAUGUACGCUUUUUAAAUGUUCUUUUUUGUUUUAAAAUGUAAACUAAAGAAAUCAUAUCAAAAUACAUUUGGUAAUUUUUAGACGUGUAAGUAAAUACAUUAAUUAUUAUACUGAUUUAUUGCAAGAAUAAAAACAAAAUCAUUGAAAUCAUUAAAUCAUUUUAAUGAUGUUAUGCUUCGAUCAAUAAUACUACUAGAUUCGCGAUUAGCGCUUCAAAAGCGGCCCGAAAAAUAAGACCACAAAUAAAUUUGUGGUCUUAUUUCAAAUUAGUAUGGUCCAAUCAUAGCCAACACUAAGACGUCAAAACGCUGCAAUGCGCGUUCAAAAACUGAGUAAAAAACCACCGUAACACCAAGGUUUUGGAAGGAAUAUCUUUUUUUGAUUUCCUAGUAGCCCCUUGUCGCUGUGCACAAUGGAUAUAUAUUAUCGCGAAAGAAAGAGGAGAAGAAAUAUAGAACUCUUAUAAACAUUCUAGAAUUGUUCAAUGGUGGUGGCAAAUCAAUGCAAAAAAGUAUUAAAAAAACUUUAUAUGUAUGUGUAAAUAUUUUAAGCGUAUAUGCUGAAAAGGAUUUGUUUUCUGGGGGAAACGAACACAGCCAUAAAAUAAGCCUAAAUUAAACUGAUUAUAGAAAAAUUCAUUGAUAUAAGAUUACAUUAUAUUUGUAAAAAAGAAACCGCUCAUAUAAAAAUGACUUCUAAAAGACAGCUUUAUAACAAACUGAAUCUGUUUAAAGGUAAUUAAACCUACAUUAUUGUUUUAAUUACUUCUGUAUAAAGAAUACGUGGAAAACAUGUUUCGUGUUUCCUUUCAUAUUUUUUUUACUUUAUUCAAUUUUAUUUUUUAUCACCUAUUUGUUGUAAUAGCGGCGAUGUAAAAUAUUAUCUACUACUUUUUUGAAUCGGUCAAAAAUAGUUGCGACCAUACAAAACAAACCUAAAACAAAUAUGUAUAUUCUGCAACUCUAUGUCUUUCAAUACUUACUGUGUUCUGAGCAUUGAAAUGUAAUACCAAGAACUACAUCUAGUUCCACAAUACAAUAAGCACGAAAUUUUAAACAAAUAUUUUUAACCUUAUAAAUUAGGCUUUAAGUAUCAUUUUAGAAUAAAUAUUUUUGUACUGAUGACUUCUUAUGUUCAAGUGACAUUUUAAAUUUAUUCCAUAAUAUUCUUUUUCUGACGAAAGGACCUAAAUACAUAUAUUUUGCAAUGGUAAUUAAACUUUAUGUCUAAGUUUUAAGGUUUAUAAUAAACUGAAGUCGUUAACAUUAUUAAUCUUUUUUCUAAGAAAUGAAGAUGUUUUCGUGUCUGCAAACGUGGCCACUGGAGCGUCUUAUUUUUGUUCCUGAUCCGUAAUCUAGUACUAUUAUUGAUCGAAGAUGUUAUGUACAAAACUUUGCUAACAAUGGAACUCAACGUCUUAAAUAUUAAUUACAGAUUUUUUUAUUAGAAUGUUUUACUUGAGUUCUAAUGUGAAGUGUAAAAUAAAACAAGGAAAAAAAAUGUUUUAAAAUUACUUGAGCCGAUUAGUUUAUGAAAAAAUAAUUACAAUACAUAUUUAAUAAAUUCCUAAUAUAUUUAUAAAUCGUAAUUUAGAAGUACCUAAUUCAAACAUUUAAAAUGGCGUCGGUAUAUUCCAGAGAUGUGUGCACGGAGCCAGCUACGGUCAAAGCUAUUCGUAUUUUUUCAACGUUAAAACUAUUACAUUAUUAACUCAAACUUGCCACAGUCUGUGUAUACGUUUGCCAUAAAUUUCGGAGUGGUUUAAAUAAAUCUUCGCUAUAGUCUGAGGCUAUAGAUAACCCCGACAUUGUAAAAUAGACGUACCUAAUUAAUUGUAUUAUUAAUUAAAGAAAUAAUAAAUCUAUUUUAACUCGUAA